AAGCAAUAGCAUAAAUGCAUUUUGAUUUCGACUCAAAAAGAGGGGGGGGAAUUCCAUUGCUUA
rnacentral:tRNA from 1 species